AUGGUUGGAUUUUUGGGUCCGUACCGGAGAUUUUUGGUCAAGGCCCACAGUCCCGUCGUCUACCCAUUGAUCCAGUGCAGCGAUUGCAAGGACACGGUUAGCUUCGGCUGUUUGGUCACCGACUACUUCCCCCAACCCGUCACUGUCACGUGGAUUUCCAACGUCAAAGGAGACAACGAGACUUUCCCGGUCAUCCAGAGCAGCAACAGUUACUACAGUCUCAGCACCCAACUCACCGUCCCGGUGAGCAGCUUGGAAGGAAAUAUCUUCCAGUGCAAGGUGGACCACAGCAGCACCACAAACACCAUCACCGAGAUCAAAGGUGAUGAUGUAUGUCCCAAGACCCCGCCAGUGAUAAAGCUUCUGAGCGACCCAAAUCAGAGCGACCCUCAGAAGAGAGUCCUACUCAUGUGCCUCAUCGAGGGGCCCAAGGCUUCCAGUAGCAAGGUGCAGUGGCUGAUGAACCAUGAAGUGAUGCAAGUGGAUCAGGAGGACUACACCUGUGACAAUUGCUCCCCACACAAGCCCACAUUUAUGAGCAAAGUCAAUGUCAGCCGGCAGAGCUGGGACCUGGGGGCUGAGUUCUCUUGCCGAGUGACCCACCCAUCACUGAAAGAACCCGCCGUCCUCAACAUCAGCACCUUCUGCUCAGAUACCCAACGGAAGGUGGAGGUCACCAUCCUCCCCCCAUCCUUGGAGGACCUCUACCUCAGCCAGAACGCCAGCAUCACCUGCGUGGCCACCAACCUGAAGUCUUACGAAGACGUAAAGUUCUCCUGGAGCCGAGACCAGGGCAGCGCCUUGGAUGUGACCUCAGGGCCAGCAGAGAAGCUGGAGAACGGUCUCUACCGCCUCACCAGCACCCUGAAGAUCUGCGCCGAUGAGUGGAACUCCGGGGAGAAGUUCACCUGCACCGUCAAAAUCCCCGAGAUCCAAGAACCCAUCACCAGGUCUAUUAAGAAAGACAUAGACGUCUCCGUGAAGGCGCCCUCCGUCUACGUCUUCCCCCCACCGGCUGAGGAGUUGGCCCGUCAGGAAACGGCCACCUUGACCUGUCUGGCCUUGGGUUUCCGCCCCCGUGACAUCUUGGUGACCUGGACCCAAGAGGAUCGUCCCGUGUCCCCCGACAGCUUCUCCAUCUUUGGCCCUCAGAAAGAAGGAGACACCUACACGGUCUACAGCAAGUUGAGCGUGCCGGCAGCCGACUGGCAACGGGGCGACUCUUUUGCCUGCGUGGUCGGCCACGACGGCAUCCCCCUGCAUUUCGUGCAGAAGACCAUGGACAAGGCCAUCGGUAAACCCACCUCCGUCAACGUUUCGGUUUUGGAUGAGGACUAG